rnacentral:rRNA from 1 species
GAUGAACGCUGGCGGCGUGCCUAAUACAUGCAAGUCGAGCGAACAGAUGAGGAGCUUGCUCCUCUGACGUUAGCGGCUGACGGGUGAGUAACACGUGGAUAACCUACCUAUAAUACUGGGAUAACUUCGGGAAACCGUAUCUAAUACCGGAUAAUAUAUUUAACCUCAUGGUUCAAUAGUGAUAUACGGUUUUGCUGUCUCUUAUAGAUGGAUCCUCGCCGCAUUAGCUAGUUGGUAAGGUAACGGCUUACCAAGGCAACGAUGCGUAGCCGACCUGAGAGGGUGAUCGGCCAAACUGGAAGUGAGACACGGUACAGAGUCCUACGGGAGGCAGCAGUAGGGAAUAUUCCGCAAUGGGCGAAAGAAUGACGGAGCAAAGCAGCGUGAGUGAUGAAGGUCUUAGGAUCGUAAAACUCUGUUAGUAGGGAAGAAAAAAUGUGUAAGUAACUAUGCACGUAUUGACGGUAACGAAUCAGAAAGCAACGGCUAACUACGUG